rnacentral:rRNA from 1 species
GGCUAGCUCUGCUUUUGGCUCUCUGAGCCGAUUCAGAGUUUAGUCAUCCGUAUGGGAAACUAGCUCGGCCUUCACUGGUCGGCUAGUGGAUCAUACACUUUACUUUGAAAAAAUUAGAGUGUUUCAGGCAGGCAAUUGCUUGGAUACUUCAGCAUGGAAUAAUGGAAUAGGACUUUGACCUAUUUGUUGGUUUCUUCGAGGUCAAAGUA